UGGGGAAUAUUGGACAAUGGGGGGAACCCUGAUCCAGCAAUGCCGCGUGUGUGAAGAAGGCCUUCGGGUUGUAAAGCACUUUGGUCCGGGAAGAAGCUACGUAGUUUAAGAGAUGAUGUAGUUGACGGUACCGGAAGAACAAGCACCGGCUAACUCUGUGCCAGCAGCCGCGGUAAUACAGAGGGUGCGAGCGUUAAUCGGAAUUACUGGGCGUAAAGGGCGCGUAGGCGGUCGAUUAAGUUAGGCGUGAAAUUCCUGGGCUCAACCUAGGGACUGCGCAUAAGACUGGACGACUAGAGUAUUGUAGAGGGCAGUGGAAUUUCCGGUGUAGCGGUGAAAUGCGUAGAGAUCGGAAGGAACACCAGUGGCGAAGGCGGCUGCCUGGACAAAUACUGACGCUGAUGCGCGAGAGCGUGGGGAGCAAACAGGAUUAGAUACCCGCGUAGUCC
rnacentral:rRNA from 1 species